rnacentral:sRNA from 1 species
AGCAAUAAUGCAUUACAAAAACCUUCUGAUUGUCAUAAAAGAUUAAAUUAAGAAAUAAGAAUGAAGACUAGAGAGAAUAAAACUCGAAACAAGAGUUUUCUUAUUGCUUUCUCUUUCUCUUCUCUUUUUCUCUGUUUUCUCUAUAUCUUAUAAAUGAAUGAAAUGAGUUAUAUAUAGUAGAGCUUACUUAGCUAGGAAGUAAAUUACUUAGAGAAUAGUAAUGGAUAAACAUCAUCCAUAUCUUAAAGAUGAAGUAAUGGAUAAACAUCAUCCAUAUUUUAAGAAGGAAAUAAUGGAUAAACAUCAUCUAUAUCUUAAGGAAGAAAUAAUGGAUAAACAUCAUCCAUAUCUUAUGGAUAGAGAUGAAUGAUGGAUAAUGACAUCCAUACUUAUCCGGUUUAUAACACUGAUCAAAAUAAUACCAUUAUUCUACGUUCUCUAAUCGUGAAUCCUCAUAAUUGAGAUAUACAGUUUUAUUU